rnacentral:misc_RNA from 1 species
CCGAGUUUACAACUCCCAAACCCCUGUGAACAUACCAUUAUCGUUGCCUCGGCGGUGCCCGCUUCGGCGGCCCGCCAGAGGACCCAAACCCUUGAUUUUUAUAACAGUAUCUUCUGAGUAAAUGAUUAAAUCAAUCA